rnacentral:rRNA from 1 species
CCUACGGGUGGCAGCAGUGGGGAAUAUUGCACAAUGGGCGAAAGCCUGAUGCAGCCACGCCGCGUGAGUGAAGAAGGACUUCGGGAUGUAAAGCUCUUUCAGCAGGGGAGAAAAUGACGGUACGUGUUUACGAAGCAGUGGCUAAAUACGUGCCAGCAGCCGCGGUAACACGGAGGGGGCAAGCGUUAUACGGAUUUACUGGGUGUAAAGGGAGCGUAGACGGCAGCACAAGUCUGGAGGGAAAUGCCCGGGCUUAACCCCGGAACUGCAUUCGAAACUGGGCGGCUAGAGUGCAGGAGAGGUAGGUGGAAUGCCUGGUGUAGCGGUGAAAUGCGUAGAGAUCAGGAGGAACACCGGUGGCGAAGGCGGCAUACUGGACAAAGACUGACGCUGAGGCGCGAAAGCGUGGGGAGCAAACAGGAUUAGAUACCCUGGUAGUC